ACACGUGAUUCAGAGUUUGAUCCUGGCUCAGGACGAACGCUGGCGGCGUGCUUAACACAUGCAAGUCGAACGGGAUUUAGUAGACAGAAACCUCGGUGGAAGAUUACUAAUGAGAGUGGCGAACGGGUGAGUAACGCGUGAGCAACCUGCCUAUGACAGUGGGAUAGCCUCGGGAAACCGGAAUUAAUACCGCAUAAAAUCGUAGAAACACAUGUUUUAACGGUCAAAGAUUUAUCGGUCAUAGAUGGGCUCGCGUCUGAUUAGCUAGUUGGUGAGAUAACAGCCUACCAAGGCGAUGAUCAGUAGCCGGUCUGAGAGGAUGAACGGCCACAUUGGAACUGAGACACGGUCCAA
rnacentral:rRNA from 1 species